UGGGGAAUUUUGGACAAUUGGGCGAAAGCCUGAUCCAGCAAUGCCGCGUGUGUGAAGAAGGCCUUCGGGUUGUAAAGCACUUUUGUCCGGAAAGAAAUCCUUGGCUCUAAUACAGUCGGGGGAUGACGGUACCGGAAGAAUAAGCACCGGCUAACUACGUGCCAGCAGCCGCGGUAAUACGUAGGGUGCAAGCGUUAAUCGGAAUUACUGGGCGUAAAGCGUGCGCAGGCGGUUUGCUAAGACCGAUGUGAAAUCCCCGGGCUCAACCUGGGAACUGCAUUGGUGACUGGCAGGCUAGAGUAUGGCAGAGGGGGGUAGAAUUCCACGUGUAGCAGUGAAAUGCGUAGAGAUGUGGAGGAAUACCGAUGGCGAAGGCAGCCCCCUGGGCCAAUACUGACGCUCAUGCACGAAAGCGUGGGGAGCAAACAGGAUUAGAUACCCUGGUAGUCCACGCCCUAAA
rnacentral:rRNA from 1 species